GACGUAGGAUGCGAGCGUUAUUCGGAUUUAUUGGGCGUAAAGCGUGCGUAGGCGGCUGUUUAAGUCUGGUGUUAAAGCUAGGGGCUCAACCCCUGUGGUGCAUCGGAUACUGGGCAGCUUGAGUGCGGUAGGGGAGAUUGGAAUUCCUGGUGUAGCGGUGGAAUGCGCAGAUAUCAGGAGGAACACCGAUGGCGAAGGCAGGUCUCUGGGCAUUAACUGACGCUGAGGAGCGAAAGCAUGGGGAGCGAACAGG
rnacentral:rRNA from 1 species